GUAACAAGGUUUCCGUAGGUGAACCUGCGGAAGGAUCAUUAGUGAAUAUUAGCGCAUCUACUUGUAGAGCGUGACCUCCACUUUCUAACUCUGUGCAUUUAUUGGCGGAAGGACUUGAGCAAUCGAGCUUCCUUCUGCGGCUCAUUUUAAAACACUAGUUAAAGUAUGUAACGAAAUAUCGAAACAAAAAAAACUUUCAACAACGGAUCUCUUGGCUUGCUCAUCGAUGAAGAACGCAGCGAAAUGUGAUAAGUAAUGUGAAUUGCAGAAUUCAGUGAAUCAUCGAAUCUUUGAACGCACCUUGCGCUCUCUGGUAUUCCGGAGAGCAUGUCUGUUUGAGUGUCAUGAACUCUUCAACCCACCAGUUUCUUGUAGACUGAAUGGUGUUUGGUUUCUGAGCGUUGCUGGUCUUCGGAUCUAGCUCGUUCGUAAUAUAUUAGCAUCUCUAAUUCGAACUCGGAUUGACUCAGUGUAAUAGACUAUUCGCUGAGGACACGCUCUUGUAGUGUGGCCGAAUGAGAUCUCAGUAGAAGCUUCCAACUACUUUAGUCAACUUUAGAUUAGACCUCAGAUCAGGCAGGAUUACCCGCUGAACUUAAGCAUAUC
rnacentral:misc_RNA from 1 species